rnacentral:rRNA from 1 species
AACGAACGCUGGCGGCAUGCCUAACACAUGCAAGUCGAACGAGAACUUCGGGUCUAGUGGCUCACGGGUGCGUAACGCGUGGGAACCUGCCCUUAGGUUCGGAAUAACUCCCCGAAAGGGGUGCUACUACCGGAAACUGUCGUCGGACCAACGAUUUAUCGCCUUUGGAUGGGCCCGCGUUGGAUUAGCUAGUUGGUAGGGUAAAAGCCUACCAAGGCGACGAUCCAUAGCUGGUCUGAGAGGAUGAUCAGCCACACUGGGACUGAGACCCGGCCCAGACUCCUCCGGGUGGCAGCAGGUGGGAAUAUUGGACACUGGGCGAAAGCCUGAGCCAGCAAUGCCGCGUAAGUCAUUAAGGCCUGAGGGUUGUAAAUCUCUUUUACCCGGGAUGAUAAUGACAGUACCGGGAGAAUAAGCUCCGGCUAACUCCGUG